UACAGAGGGGGCAAGCGUUGUCCGGAAUCAUUGGGCGUAAAGGGCGCGUAGGCGGCGACCCAAGUCAGAUGUGAAAGUCCUGGGCUUAACCUGGGGACUGCAUUUGAUACUGGGUUGCUUGAAUUCGGGAGAGGAUAGCGGAAUUCCCAGUGUAGAGGUGAAAUUCGUAGAUAUUGGGAAGAACACCGGUGGCGAAGGCGGCUAUCUGGACCGACAUUGACGCUGAGGCGCGAAAGCGUGGGGAGCAAACAGG
rnacentral:rRNA from 1 species